UACGUAGGGCGCGAGCGUUGUCCGGAAUUAUUGGGCGUAAAGAGCUCGUAGGUGGCUUGUUGCGUCUGCCGUGAAAGCCCGUGGCUUAACUACGGGUCUGCGGUGGAUACGGGCAGGCUAGAGGCUGGUAGGGGGCAAGCGGAAUUCCUGGUGUAGCGGUGAAAUGCGCAGAUAUCAGGAGGAACACCGGUGGCGAAGGCGGCUUGCUGGGCCAGUUCUGACGCUGAGGAGCGAAAGCGUGGGGAGCGAAACAGG
rnacentral:rRNA from 1 species